AAUUAAUUCAUAUGAGUUAAUAAUAAAAGAAAAAAAAACAAUUGUUAAUUUAUUAAAAACGUUACGGAUACGUUUUAAGCUGUUGAGACAGCAAAACUCAAUAAUUGGAAAGAUUUCGUGAUUUUUUCCAGAGCGAGUCAAAGCCGUAAAGAACAACGAAAAAUCCCAAAGUCUUCUGUAUCUCCUGUCGCAUUUGAAAAAAAAGAAUCUCAAUACACUGCAACGCAUGUUCAAGUCCUUCGAAAUGAUUGGUCACGUCGCACACAUUGAUUGGUAGUUUAAAGGUCAUAUAACUGUUUAGUUUUUUUUUCACGAAUGUACAUUCGGCGAGUUUUAGAUGGUUAUAAAUGUUUUACAACUAAUUUGAUUUGAAUGAUACUGGCUGGCGAAGUAAGUAUACACAUUACACUACACGUCCACUUACAACACAUAAAAAUCAUAAACAUUCUGUAGGGCAAAUUCCACUUAUGGACCCCUCAAUUUCGAUGAGCUAGACACAAUUGCUAAUAUUUUGUAAGCCUAUUGAUGCUUUUUGUUCAAAUUUACUACUUAUUGGAAUAUAAUUUUCCCUUCUUUAAGGUGGGACAUUAAAAAUUUUUUGUUAGAUCAAAUUUUACAUUUUAUGGCAUAAAGAACGGCGGCUUAGUAUUAAUACGAGUUUAUUUUGGAUACCAAUUAGUUUAGUAUUUUAAGUAAACUAUACAUUUAUGUAAGGAUACAAACACUAAGUUUUGAACUUAUUUUUCAGGCAAGGCAAAAUAACUACAUUGUAAAUAUUUCACAGUCUUUUUAGGUUUGGUAGCGUUUACUGCAAUGAUCUAUUGUUAUUCAUUUAUGUUAUUGGAUGGGCCGUGUAACACGUACUGUUUCAUGCAAAAGAAAUUAAUCAAUAAAUAAAUUCAUUCAAAUAUCCUGAAUCUACCCAUAACGCUAUGGGUGAAAUGUUAGCUAAAAUCUAUGUUCCCUAAAUAAUAACAUUAAUGCCGAUAAAGAAAUCAUACAAAACAUGAUCAAACAUGCAAUGGGAACAUACAUCCAUUCUAAAACACUUCGAUUAACUCCAAAGACAAAUGUUGGCGGGAUCCAGUCAGGCCCAGAGAGAAAGCAGUGAAAUCUUCGCGUCUUAACCGCAAGUUGUUUAGAAAUAUAUGUAACAAGUUAUUGCGCCUCGCUUCAAACGACCAGCUGGUGCAUGCCAAAGUUUUGCCGUUUUAAAAAGUAUCACGAGCUGUUGAUAUUUCACGAAAAGAAUUGGAAACCAAUCUAAUGCAUCGAUUCCUUUUCUUCUCAACAACGUCCAAUAAAUAUCUGACCCGGUUGAUAAAGGUAAUGUGUUGGUUGAAACGUUCGCUUCAAAUUCCAACUUACUAUAGAGCAACCAACCACUGUGACCGUUCGAAAGAGUAACAUUUAGCAAGAGUAACAAAAAUUGUGCUGACAAACUCGCCACUCAUUGCGCAAUCGCCAGUCGUGCUAGACUCGUCUAAAGCUAUCGUCCAAGUGCACUCAAAUCCGCUGUAGCCAAGACUAUGGAGGCCGUAGUGAACUACCAUCUAACGGUAUAUCUAAAAUCCGGUGACCUAAUUAGAAAUAGAUAAUAUAGCUUUCAGAAAAAUCGGUCCACUGGUGACCUUAUGUCCUAUUUCACCGAACAUUGGAACUGAGCUUCUCGCCGCUUUGGCAAGAGAGAGCUCGUUGUGUUAAAUAACGCCAAAGCGUUCGACAAAGUACGGGAUGAUGUUGUUGUGUUCAAGCUGAUUGCAUAUGGCGUCGACAUUUUCAUUUGAGCUUUGGCAUAAGUAACUCACUGUAAUAUUCAAUUAGAUCAUCAAUUUAAUAUUGUAUAAAAAACCAACUAAAUUAGACCAGUUUGCCAGUUAUUCUUUUAAAGUUUUACUUACCAAUUUUUGGCUUUUCAUGUUCAGUAAUGCCUUUCAGAUGCAAACGAUGGCAAGGGCGAUAAUAUUUAUUUCGGUCAGGAAAAAAGAAUGGGUCAAGGAACACAUCAAACAGCAUCAACUAAAACAGGAACAUAUUGAUAGUAAUCUGCAAGGCAUUCGGUGCAAAAGGGGCCUAUUGCGUCACAUAAAAACAUGAUUUGUCUGCUAUCGUUAAAAAAUACCACAAAACUACACGAAAUGUAAAUGUUGUUGGAAGCUGCCCGACAAGCUAAUUUCCAGCGUUAGACUUUCACUCGAUAUGAAUCCUCACGCAGAAACCAAAUGAAAAAGAGUUUGCUAAAAUGGGUAACGAUUUUAUGACUUUCUGAUAAACGUUAGGUAUUUAUUUUUUUGUUUACUUAUU